rnacentral:rRNA from 1 species
GAGUUUGAUCGUGGCUCAGGAUGAACGCUGGCGGCGUGCUUAACACAUGCAAGUCGAACGAAGCGCCUUAUUUGAUUUUCUUCGGAACUGAAGAUUUGGUGACUGAGUGGCGGACGGGUGAGUAACGCGUGGGUAACCUGCCCUGUACAGGGGGAUAACAAUCAGAAAUGACUGCUAAUACCGCAUAAGACCACAGCACCGCAUGGUGCAGGGGUAAAAACUCCGGUGGUACAGGAUGGACCCGCGUCUGAUUAGCUGGUUGGUGAGGUAACGGCUCACCAAGGCGACGAUCAGUAGCCGGCUUGAGAGAGUGAACGGCCACAUUGGGACUGAGACACGGCCCAAACUCCUACGGGAGGCAGCAGUGGGGAAUAAUGCACAAUGGGGGAAACCCUGAUGCAGCAACGCCGCGUGAGUGAAGAAGUAUUCGGUAUGUAAAGCUCUAUCAGCAGGGAAGAAAGUGACGGUACCUGACUAAGAAGCCCCGGCUAACUACGUGCCAGCAGCCGCAGU